UAUUUUUUCACUUCAUCCGCCAACACCAUCACACCAUCUUCACCGAUGCGUUAAUUCUUGGAAAAAUUAUCUUUCUCCUCCUUUAUUUGUGGGGUGGGGGGGAGGGAGACUGGGAGGCUUGUCUUUGAUCUCUCAGUUGCCCGCUCCAUGUCCUAAAUCUCUCUCUAAAUUUCAAUUCUUUCUUUUCAAUCUAUAACCAACACCAUCCGUGCUGAGUAACGAGUGGAAGGAAACAUCUAUUCCUAGAAGGAUUUUCUUCUUUUUUGCCAACAUUUUGUACGUGGUUUCCCUGAUUUUUGUCUUCGUUUCUCGAUGUUGUGGAUCUAACCCCACUUCCCAUUUUGGAAACUCUCUCAAAUUAUGUAUCUUUCUUCUAUCCGUUAAGAUCCGCUUACUCUUGUCGUUGUUGUUCGGAAGAGUUUAGUCAUCUCUUCUUCUUUUCCUUUGGGAACUCUUGCAACCCAGAGAAUCUAUGUAAUCUAGAGUUAGAUUUGUCAAAAUGGUGAAAGACCCGUUUCUCAAGUCGUUGAAAUUCGAUCACUUUCCCGUCUUUUUCUCUCAAUCUCUGGCAAUUUCAACUACUCUGAUCAGCACUUUAGGGUUUUGAGGAAAGAGAAUUGCACCUUCUUCUUUUGCCAAUGGAUUUCUCCAGCGGCAACGUGGUCGAAGUAAUUACCGGAAGUGGUCCGGACAGCUGGUCUGGCGGCGACCAUGCCAUGUGGGCGACGGAGGACGAUUACCGAGCCUGGAACAACAAUGGCGACGACACGCCUUCGACCAACUCGAAUUACGACCAGAGGCAAUCACAGAGUCGCUCCGGGAGCGAACCCCUGAACAAGAAAUCGAGGAAUUCCCAGGAUGUGACUUCUUCCAAUCGAUCCAAAGCUAUCGGGAAAAUGUUUUUCAAGACCAAACUUUGUUGCAAGUUCCGCGGCGGGACGUGCCCAUAUAUAACUAAUUGUAAUUUCGCCCACAGCAUUGAAGAGCUUCGGCGGCCUCCUCCGAAUUGGCAGGAUAUCGUGGCGGCUCAUGAGGAGGAGAAGGCGGUGGUUUCAUCUGAGCCGAGGGAGGAGUAUCAGAUACCGUCGUUGGGAUCCUUUAAUUUUGUGGUGGAGACGCCGAGGUCUUUUAAGGGGCGGCAUUGCAAGAAAUUCUACACAGAGGAGGGGUGCCCCUAUGGAGAUAAUUGCACGUUCCUUCACGACGAGCAGUCGAAGAAUCGAGAGAGCGUGGCUAUAAGUUUGGGGCCUGGUGGCUAUGGUGGUGGUGGUGGUGGUGAUGGCGGCGGCGGCGGCAGCACUGGGCGCAGUGGCGGCGGUGGUGCUGCUGCCGGGAGUGCCAGUGGGCAGAAUGCCAAACCAUCAAAUUGGAAAACAAGGAUUUGCAACAAGUGGGAGUUGACGGGGUAUUGCCCAUUUGGAAGCAAAUGCCAUUUUGCUCAUGGUGCGGCAGAAUUGCACCGAUAUGGAGGUGGGCUUAUGGAGGGAGAUACUAGAGAUUCUUCAUCUGCACCUCCCGACUCAAAGCAGGGAGGAGUACCUUCAAAAACUUCGGCAGAUACUCUGGUAGCAUCGGUCCCUUCAGUUCCUCAUUCUGAUGUUUUUCAUAUCGGAGUUCCAUCACAAAGGUCUUCUGUUGCAAUUCAGAGGCCGGGGCAGAGAACUCAACAGAAAUGGAAGGGUCCAGAUAAAAUCAGCAGGAUAUAUGGUGACUGGAUUGAUGACAUCGAAUAAAAAUUGGAAAGCCCUGUCAGGAAAUGUUGAAGAUUGGCAUUAAGGAAUCAAUCUCCAUCACAGAAUACUUCAAUCUCCUUAGUGGGUGCAUGGUGUCAAAUGCUGAAUAUCAGCAGUUAGAACAAUCUCCAUCAUAGAGUACUUUAAUCUCCUUAGUGAGGGCAUUGUGUCAAAUGCUGAAGAUGGACACUGGAUAGUAAGAAAUCAGCCUCCACCACACGGUACUUUAAUCUCCUUGGUGAGGGCAUGGCGUCAACACGUAGCUUCAAGUUUCAGUAGAAGCCUUAUUGUUGGGAGUCUCAGCCACAUCAUCUUCAGCAAAUGAAAGGAGCAUUAUGUGGAUGUGGGAAAAUUAAUGCCCUAAAUGGAUUUAUGUCAAAGUUUAUACCCUGAAGAUGAUCAUAUCAACAAAAUAUCUAUAAGAAUUGCUUGUGUAGACAUCAGGAAGAGAAUUCAUUCCAUGGCCGUGGCCUUCUUAAUGCAUUUGGCAAGAGAUUACGAGGCACCGUUAUACUUGAAGAAAGUCUGAUGGAUGCUCAACUCGGGCUUUUCCGACUUCAGAGGAAAAACAGAAAGUUAGAUCGAACGAAUGAAACUGUCUAUGAACUCAUUGCCUGCAAGAAUCUCAAAGAUGCUCCUUUAAACAGACAUUCUGUAUCAAUUUACUGUACUUGUGUUCUUAUUUAGUAGCUGCAGUUUCUGUACAUGGUAGGUUGUUUUUGGCUGCACAAGUCUUAACUGAAUUGUAUUUUUAUACCCCAUUAUUUAAUGCAAGUAUUUCGUUCUCGGCUGA